CGUAGGGUGCAAGCGUUAAUCGGAAGUUACUGGCGUAAAGCGUGCGCAGGCGGUUAUGCAAGACAGAUGUGAAAUCCCCGGGCUCAACCUGGGAACUGCAUUUGUGACUGCAUGGCUAGAGUACGUAGGGGGGAUGGAAUUCCGCGUGUAGCAGUGAAAUGCGUAGAUAUGCGGAGGAACACCGAUGGCGAAGGCAAUCCCCUGGACCUGUACUGACGCUCAUGCACGAAAGCGUGGGGAGCAAACAGGAUUAGAUACCCUGGUAGUCCACGCCCUAAACGAUGUCAACUGGUUGUUGGGAGGGUUUCUUCUCAGUAACGUAGCUAACGCGUGAAGUUGACCGCCUGGGGAGUACGGCCGCAAGGUUGA
rnacentral:rRNA from 1 species